UUUAAUCCUCAAAACAAACCAAACACUUGUGGUUUCUCUUUCUUCCCAUUACUCUUCUUUUCUCUUUCUUUUUAGUACACAUAUUGGCCCCUAAGAAGAAACUAAGGUUGCAUGGUGGUGGAUUUAAACAAUGGUCCAAACAAGAACAAUCCAACUGAUCAUCUUUUGUCUGCUUAUUAUUUCUAUGCAAGUUUUGGUGCAGCUGGGAGCUUCAACAAAUUCUGGUGACUAUGUUGUGUUAGAGUCACUGAAGGAAGAGUGGGAAAACGUACCUCCAAGUUGGGAUGGGUCUGAUCCUUGUAACGAUCCAUGGGAAGGCAUGACUGCAACAAUUCACGUGUUAUUUCUAUAAAAUUAUCAAGCAUUAAUCUGAAAGGGGAGCUAUCUGGAGAUAUCGAAGGCUUGUCUGAAUUGCAGAUAUUGGAUCUAUCAUACAACAAAGGCAUGACAGGUUCACUCCCUCAAUCAAUUGGAAAUUUGAAGAGUUUAUCAAUUCUGAUCCUUGUUGGUUGUGGGUUUUCUGGACUGAUACCAAACACAAUCGGAUCCCUUAGCCAGCUGGAAUUUCUAUCUUUGAAUUUAAACAACUUUAUCGGACCGAUACCAGCUUCUGUUGGUAAUUUAUCAAAGUUGCGUUGGCUGGACUUAGCUGAUAAUAAGCUCAGUGGACCUCUUCCAGUUUCACCUGGUCUAGACAUGCUUGUUCACACAAAGCAUUUUCACCUGGGGAGAAAUCAGUUCUCAGGUGAGAUUCCAGAUCAGCUAUUCAGCUCAAAUAUGACUCUCAAACAUUUGCUGCUUGAGCAAAACCAGCUUACUGGAAAAAUACCCCCUUCAUUAGGACUUGUGCAGACUCUGGAGGUGGUUCGUCUUGACAGGAAUUCAUUAGACGGAUCGAUUCCAUCAACCCUCAAAAAUCUCACACUUAUGAGUGAACUCUUCUUAUCAAACAAUAAAUUCACUGGCCCCUUGCCCAAUCUUGCUGGCAUGAAUGCCCUCUACUACUUAGAUAUGAGCAAUAAUACAUUCAGCUCAGCUGAUUUUCCGCAGUGGUUUUCAACUUUGCAGUCAUUGACGACUCUGGUAAUGGAGAACACUCAACUUCAAGGAGAAAUUCCGUCAACCCUCUUCAGUCUUUUUCAGUUGCAGACUGUCAACUUGAGGGGAAACAAGAUCAAUGGAACCCUGAAUAUUGCAUCCAACUAUAGCAGUCAAUUAAAACUGAUUGAUUUGCAGAACAACUCCAUCGAUUCAUAUACAGUAAGACAUGGAUUUCCUUUUCAAAUAAUACUUAUGCAUAAUCCAGUUUGUUAUGAAGAAGGAUCAGAAGACUAUUGUGCCAUUUCCCAAACGAACUUUGGAUAUUCAACUCCACAAGAAAAUUGCCUUAAAACACAAUGCAGUUCUGAUCAAAUUCUUAGCCCUACCUGUAAAUGUGCUUAUCCGUACAUAGGCGACUUAUUCUUCAGAGCUCCUUCCUUUUCUGAUUUGACAAACACAAGCAUUUAUGAGUCACUUCAGAAGUCUAUGCUAUCUUCUUUUAGCCCAAAUCAGGUGCCAGUAGAUUCAGUUUCCUUGAGUAAUCCAAAAAAGAAUUCAGAGUACUACCUUGUGUUACACCUGCAAGUUUUUCCAUUUGGCCAAGAUCAUUUCAACCGUACAGGGAUUGCCACAAUUGGAUUUGCACUUAGCAACCAGACUUACAAACCCCCACCAAAGUUUGGACCAUUCUUUUUCAGUGGUGAAAGCUACAAAUACUUCGAAGUUGGAUCAAGAGGAACUCACAAGUCAAUCACUAAAGGAAUUAUAAUUGGAGCAGCUGCUGGUGGUGCUGUCCUUUUAAUUUUAUCAGUAAUAAUAGGAGUUUUAGUUUGCCAAAAGAAAAGAGAUCAAGAAGCUAUUAGAAAGAGUAACCCUUUCGCUACAUGGGAUUCUAUAAAAGACAGCGGUGGUGUUCCACAGUUAAAAGGUGUCAAAUGUUUCACAUUUGAAGAGUUGAAAAAAUACACCAAUAAUUUUUCAGAAAGCAAUUACAUUGGAUCUGGUGGUUAUGGGAAGGUAUACAAAGGCACACUUCCAGAUGGACAACUUAUUGCAAUUAAAAGAGCAGAACAAGCAUCUAAGCAAGGCGCCCUCGAGUUUAAAACUGAGAUUGAGAUUCUUUCAAGGUUUCAUCACAAAAAUGUUGUCAGCCUUGUAGGAUUUUGUUUCAGGCAAGGUGAACAGAUGCUGGUCUAUGAGUUUAUACCAAAUGGAUCCUUGAAAGAGAGUCUUUCAGGAAAGUCCGGGAUUAAGUUAGAUUGGAAGAGGAGACUUCGGAUAGCCCUUGGAGCAGCCAGAGGUUUGCAAUAUCUUCAUGAUCAUGUUGACCCUCCUAUCAUCCACAGAGAUAUCAAAUCGAAUAACAUCUUGCUGGAUGAGCGCUUGACUGCAAAAGUUGCUGAUUUUGGUCUUUCCAAGACGAUGUAUGAGCCAGACAAGGGUUACGUCAGCACUCAGGUUAAAGGAACAAUGGGCUACAUGGAUCCAGAGUACUACACAACACAACAGUUGACUGAGAAGAGUGAUGUCUAUAGCUUCGGAGUUCUGCUGCUAGAGCUUAUAACAGCACGGAGUCCAAUUGUGAGAGGAAAAUACAUUGUGAAGGAAUUGAGGCAAGCGAUAGACAAGUCUAAAGACAUGUACAACAUUGAUGAGUUUGUUGAUCCUGCUAUCCCCUCAAACAUGACACCUAUAAGCUUCAGGAAGUUUGUGGAUCUAGCUUUCACGUGCCUCGAAGAUGCAGGAGCUAAUAGGCCAACAAUGGCUGAGGUAGUGAAAGAGAUUGAGAAUAUCAUGGAAAUAGAUGGAUUGAACAGUUGUGCUGAAUCCAGAUCAACUUCUGUGAGCCACGAAGGAACCAGCGCAACCUUUGAUCAUCCUUACAGUGAGGAAAGCCUAAAUCGUUACAAUGGGGUCACCAAUUCGCGAUAAACACCAACUCUUCUCCUGGAACCAGGUACAUUGUCAUAGAAAUGGAAAGUGAUUCAAGCAACUGUUGUGCUUUUGUGUUAGCUGUGUACAUUCUGUGAACCUCUGUGUGCGGCGUAAAUUGCCUUAUACUAGAAAUGAUUCAAAAGUCCAUCUAAGGAUGUUUAUAAACAGACUUGUAUGUUUCAACUGUUUGCUUCUGAUAAUCCAGGAGCUAGACUCCGUGGAUUCAAAAUGAGUGAUUUUAUUGUACGUAUACAUUUUAAUUUUGA